UACGGAGGGUGCAAGCGUUAUCCGGAUUCACUGGGUUUAAAGGGUGCGUAGGCGGGCAGGUAAGUCCGUGGUGAAAUCUCUGAGCUUAACUCAGAAACUGCCAUGGAUACUAUUUGUCUUGAAUAUUGUGGAGGUAAGCGGAAUAUGUCAUGUAGCGGUGAAAUGCUUAGAUAUGACAUAGAACACCAAUUGCGAAGGCAGCUGGCUACAGGUACAUUGACACUGAGGCACGAAAGCGUGGGGGAUCAAACAGG
rnacentral:rRNA from 1 species